rnacentral:rRNA from 1 species
GAUGAACGCUGGCGGCGUGCCUAAUACAUGCAAGUCGAGCGAACGGACGAGAAGCUUGCUUCUCUGAUGUUAGCGGCGGACGGGUGAGUAACACGUGGAUAACCUACCUAUAAGACUGGGAUAACUUCGGGAAACCGGAGCUAAUACCGGAUAAUAUUUUGAACCGCAUGGUUCAAAAGUGAAAGACGGUCUUGCUGUCACUUAUAGAUGGAUCCGCGCUGCAUUAGCUAGUUGGUAAGGUAACGGCUUACCAAGGCAACGAUGCAUAGCCGACCUGAGAGGGUGAUCGGCCACACUGGAACUGAGACACGGUCCAGACUCCUACGGGAGGCAGCAGUAGGGAAUCUUCCGCAAUGGGCGAAAGCCUGACGGAGCAACGCCGCGUGAGUGAUGAAGGUCUUCGGAUCGUAAAACUCUGUUAUUAGGGAAGAACAUAUGUGUAAGUAACUGUGCACAUCUUGACGGUACCUAAUCAGAAAGCCACGGCUAACUACGUGCCAGCAGCCGCGGUAAUACGUAGGUGGCAAGCGUUAUCCGGAAUUAUUGGGCGUAAAGCGCGCGUAGGCGGUUUUUUAAGUCUGAUGUGAAAGCCCACGGCUCAACCGUGGAGGGUCAUUGGAAACUGGAAAACUUGAGUGCAGAAGAGGAAAGUGGAAUUCCAUGUGUAGCGGUGAAAUGCGCAGAGAUAUGGAGGAACACCAGUGGCGAAGGCGACUUUCUGGUCUGUAACUGACGCUGAUGUGCGAAAGCGUGGGGAUCGAACAGGAUUAGAUACCCUGGUAGUCCACGCCGUAAACGAUGAGUGCUAAGUGUUAGGGGGUUUCCGCCCCUUAGUGCUGCAGCUAACGCAUUAAGCACUCCGCCUGGGGAGUACGACCGCAAGGUUGAAACUCAAAGGAAUUGACGGGGACCCGCACAAGCGGUGGAGCAUGUGGUUUAAUUCGAAGCAACGCGAAGAACCUUACCAAAUCUUGACAUCCUUUGACAACUCUAGAGAUAGAGCCUUCCCCUUCGGGGGACAAAGUGACAGGUGGUGCAUGGUUGUCGUCAGCUCGUGUCGUGAGAUGUUGGGUUAAGUCCCGCAGCGAGCGCAACCCUUAAGCUUAGUUGCCAUCAUUAAGUUGGGCACUCUAAGUUGACUGCCGGUGACAAACCGGAGGAAGGUGGGGAUGACGUCAAAUCAUCAUGCCCCUUAUGAUUUGGGCUACACACGUGCUACAAUGGACAAUACAAAGGGCAGCGAAACCGCGAGGUCAAGCAAAUCCCAUAAAGUUGUUCUCAGUUCGGAUUGUAGUCUGCAACUCGACUACAUGAAGCUGGAAUCGCUAGUAAUCGUAGAUCAGCAUGCUACGGUGAAUACGUUCCCGGGUCU